GUUGCGGUGGCGGAGUGGUUAAGGCGUUGGACUCGAAAUCCAAUGGGAUCUUCCCGCGCAGGUUCGAAUCCUGCUAGCAACG